rnacentral:lncRNA from 1 species
CUGCGCCUGCGCGGUGAAGCGCCAUAGAGCUGAGCACUCCUCCCAGAUUCCUAGAGCGGACAGGGCGAUGGCAGGUUCGCCGGGUGUGAGGCUUCACAGCGGUCCGGUGACCAAGUCGAGGAUUUUUCUGGUGGUCUAGUCUCAGAGAUUACAUCUGUAGUCAGCACAAUGAUUCCCUUCCAAGCCCAGUGGUGCCCAGUUGCCUCCAGGUCCCAGACCUUUAUGUGGACAAGAAAAGCUUACAGAGGAAAUGGUAAUUCUCCACUUGCACACUGAGGUGUCCAGUUGCAGCCCAUGGAGAUCCAGUUCAAUUAUGAAUCUCAGGAACACCACCUUCUGUCAGAUGGUGAGAACAAGACCAAGAUUGGAAAGCCAGCUUCAGAGGAGGGAAUUACAGCAAAAAUUGAACCAUUGACAGAAGAGUCUAGCAGUCUCAGAAUGUUCUCCAGGAUUCUGAAGGCAAAGAAUUCUGUGAAUUUGGGGAUAAAUUAAAUGAAAAAGAUCAGAACGUCUUUAAAAGGAGACCUCAUAACUGUGACGAAUAUGGGCAAAGCUUUGUUUGGAGUACAAGCCUUUUUAGGCAUCGAAAAACGCACUGUGAGAAACCUUAUGAAUGGGAUAAGUGUGGAAAGGCCACUGGGGAGAAACCUUAUUCCUGUAAUUGGUGUAUUAAAAGUUUCAGUUGGAGCUCAGACCUUAUUAAACACCAAAGAGUCCACACUGGUGAAAAACCUUAUAAAUGUGAUGAGUGUGGGAAAGCCUUCAGUCAGAGCUCAGAUCUUAUUAUACAUCAGAGAAUCCAUAUAGGAGAAAAACCCUAUCAAUGCCGUCAUUGUAGUAAAAGUUUUAGCCAGCGCUCAGAUCUGGUUAAACAUCAGAGAAUCCAUACUGGAGAGAAGCCUUAUACUUGUAACCAGUGUAACAAACAUUUUAGAGUUCUGAUGUGAUAAAACAUCAAAGAAUCCACACUGGGGAGAAACCAUAUAAAUGUGAUGUGUGUGGGAAAGCCUUCAGUCAGAGCUCAGAUCUUAUUCUGCAUCAGAGAAUCCAUACUGGGGAGAAACCAUAUCCAUGUAAUCAGUGUAGCAAAAGUUUCAGUCAGAAUUCAGACCUUAUUAAACAUCGAAGGAUCCACACUGGAGAGAAACCCUAUAAAUGUAAUGAGUGUGGGAAAGCUUUUAAUCAGAGCUCAGUCCUUAUUUUACAUCAGAGGAUUCAUACUGGAGAGAAACCCUAUCCCUGUGAUCAAUGUAGCAAAACCUUCAGUAGGCUUUCAGAUCUUAUUAAUCAUCAACGAAUUCACACUGGAGAGAAGCCUUACCCAUGUAAUCAGUGCAAUAAAAUGUUUAGUCGAAGAUGAGAUCUUGUUAAACAUCACAGAAUUCAUACAGGUGAGAAACCCUAUGAAUGUGAUGAAUGUGGGAAAACCUUUAGUCAGAGCUCCAACCUUAUUCUUCAUCAGAGAAUCCACACUGGAGAGAAACCUUAUGCAUGUAGUGAUUGUACUAAAAGCUUUAGUCGCCGUUCAGAUCUUGUUAAGCAUCAAAGAAUACACACUGGAGAGAAACCAUAUGCAUGUAAUCAGUGUGAUAAAAGUUUUAGUCAAAGCUCAGACCUCACUAAACAUCAGAGAGUACACUCUGGUGAAAAGCCUUAUCAUUGCAAUAGUUGUGAGAAAGCCUUCAGUCAGAGUUCUGACCUUAUUCUUCAUCAGAGAAUUCACACUGGAGAAAAACUAUUAUCUGUGCACACAGUGCAGCAAAAGUUUCAGUCAGAUCUCAGACCUCAUUAAACACCAGAGAAUCCACACUGGGGAAAAACCAUAUAAAUGCAGUGAGUGCAGGAAGGCUUUCAGUCAGUGCUCAGCUCUUACCCUACACCAGAGAAUCCACACUGGGAAGAAACCAAAUCCAUGUGAUGAGUGUGGCAAAAGCUUUAGUCGGCGUUCUGAUCUCAUUAACCAUCAAAAAAUACACACUGGUGAAAAGCCGUAUAAGUGUGAUGCAUGUGGGAAAGCCUUCAGCACAUGUACUGAUCUUAUUGAACACCAGAAAACCCAUGCUGAGGAGAAACCCUACCAGUGUGUUCAGUGCAGCAGAAGUUGUAGCCAACUCUCUGAACUUACUAUUCAUGAGGAAGUCCAUUGUGGAGAAGACAGUCAAAAUGUGAUGAAUGUGAGAAAACCUUUAGUGUGUACACCAACUCUAUUCAGUACCAGAGACACUGUACCAGAAAAAAAUCUAAUGAAUGCUGUUGAUUAUUGAUGAGUAUGAAAAAGGUUUUAAUCAGUGUUCAACUCUUAUGCUACAUUAAAACCACACUGGAUCCGGAUACGUAUGGUGGCUCACGCCUGUAAUCCCAACACUUUGGGAGGCAGAUGUGGAAGCAUCAUUUGAGCCCAGGAGUUUGAGGCUGCAGUGAGCUAUGAUUCCACCAUUGCACUCCAGUCUGGGCAACAGAGCAAGACCCUGUCUAUUUAAAAAAAAAAAAAAACCACCAAUACCACAUGGGAGAAAACAUUAAUUCAGUUUUUGUAAUGAAAGGUUAACUCAGAGCUCAGACAUUACUAAAAUUAAGAAAAAUUCUCCAGCCUGACCAACAUGGUGAAACCCUGUCUCUACCAAAAAAUAAAAAAUAAUUAGCUGGGCAUGGUGGCAGGCGCCUGUAGUCCCAGCUAUUCGGGAGGCUGAGGCAUGAGAAUCACUUGAACCUGGGAGGUGGGGGUUGCAGGGAGCCGAGAUCUGCCACUGCAUUCCAGCCUGGGCAACAGAGUGAGACUCUCUCAAAAAAAAAAAAAAAAGAAAAAAAAACUCUGAGGAAGAGUCCUGCGAGUUGUGGGAAAACCUUCAAAGUGAAAAACAUUUUUACUGAAUGUCAGUAUACCACAAUAGAAACAAAUUUCUAUCUUUUCUAUAAGGUUGGAAAAGCUCUAGUCUUAUUCAGACAUAACCUACAGGAAGAGAGUUGUAUUAUUGUAAGAGAUCUAAUGCAGAACUUAUCAGAUAUUGUAAAAAUCAGUGUGGGAGGUAUUCAGUCAAAAGUCAGAAGGAAAUGUAUUAUCGUUAUAAUUUCAAACCUUAAGAAAGCCUAAAUUACCAAUUGCAUAUCAAAUUUUUUUGAUAAUGUAAGGAAAACUUAAAUCCCCUCCAUAUCCUAAUUGGCAUUUAUAAUAAUAUGACACUUAACCCUGACAGCUAGAGUCUUACUUUAUGCUAAUGCUAGAUAUCUAUUUUUAAAUUCCACGUGUGUAAACAUGCUAUACUCUUCUGAUAUUAAACUUACUAAGUACAUAAUUCCAGUGCCCCCUUUUCUCAGAAUUUUUUUUUGUUUUUAAUUUUGGGGGGUAUAGUUUUGGUUUUCCUAGUGCACAUUAGUUUGUGCAAGUUCUUGCAAUGUUCACAGCAAAUAUAGAUUUAUUUUGCUUUGAAUAAUGCAGCCCAUAAACUUUAUUGGUUUGAAAGUUCUUCACUACCAUUUAAUCACAGCUUCUAAACAUGUGAAACAGGAUCUUUAAAAAAAUUUUCCAUAUGUCAAAGUGUAGAGAUGUUUCUAGCAGCAUUUAUCUUGUCAUCUAUAGAUUGAACAAAAAGUGGUAGCUGUGAAAUUGUGAUUUAUAAUAAAUACAUAUUUGGUCUUCAUCCCCUGGUACAGAGCUUCUAAGACCCUUGAAAUUUCCUGAGUGGUAAGAGUAAUUAGGAUGACAAGCCCCUUUAACCACACCUGAGUUUAUGUUAAUGGGAUUACUUUUGGAAAGACAGAACCACAGGAUGGGGGCUAGUUGCCUCGAGAACCAACCAUGUGAUUAGAGGGUUGGAACUUUCAGAUCAACCCCACCCUACCUUGACCUCUGAGAGGAGAGAGGCUGGAGACUGAAUUCAGUCACCAGUGGCCAGUGAUUUAAUCAUUCAUGCCUACGUGAUGUAGCCUUCAUAAAAAACUGAAGGACAGGAUUCAGAGAGCUUCCAGGUUGAACUUGUUGAGGUACUAGGAGGGUGGUGUACCUAGGGAGGGCAUGGAAGCUCAGUGUUCUUCCCACACACCUUGCCUUAUGCAUCUCUUUCAUCUGGCUGAUCCUUAGUUGUGUUCUUUUACAAGAAUCUAGUAAAUAAACUUUUCCUACAUUCUAUGAGUCAUUCUAGCUAAUGCUGAAACUCAAAGAGGGGAUUGUAGGAACCUUGGAUUUAUAGCCAGUUGGUCAGAAGCACCAGUGAAAACAUGGACAUGAGAUUGGUGUCCAAAACUGACACAAUUGGUGUCAGUUGUAGAACUGAGCCCUUAACCUGAAGCAUCUAUGUUGAUCUGAUUCCAGGUAGAUAGCUUCAAAAUUUAAUUACAGGCACUUAGUGGGUGUCCACAGAAAAUUGGAGAAUUGUUUGGUUUGGGGAAACCUCAUACACAUCUGGUGUCAGAAAUGUUGUGAGUAUAGAGAAGACAAUAAGUUUUUCCUAUACAGUAGCUAAAGUACCUACAUCAUUAAUUUGUAUAGUAUAUUCUGUGUAAAAAUAAGACUUUCUGAUAUUUUUUUCAAGUGGCAACAUUUAUCAGACUUUUUUGAUUUCUGACAUACAUACUGAAAACAGGCAACAUACAUGCAAAGUUUUCCACUGAAAAAUAGAAAUAGUUUGAAAAAAUAAAAAAUUCAAAUUGUCUUUCUGGUAUUAACAAUUUGAUAAGUUCUGCUACUAAAAGUACUACAAAGUUGUUUCCUUUGAUUAUCCCCUAUAAUUGUCUAAUUAAUAUUUUAAUUUAGCAGACAUUGUUAAAUUCUAUUCCUUAGGAGUGUAAUGCUAAGGCAAGGCCUUUUGGGAGGUUUUGUAGUACAUUAAAAGAAUAUACUAUCUCUUCCAAUGAAGUGUAUAUUGUAUAGUGAUAGAGACUAAUAUGUACAGAAAACACAUGGCUCAAUGUAAUCAUAAAGGUAGGACAUGCUUGUAAGAACUCAGAGGAGUCAAGGUUCAAUUCUGAUUAGAAAGAAAAGGGAGAGCUUUGUGGAACUCCUGAAGUUUGAGCCUUGAAGGAUGGGAAUAGAGGCAUAAAGGCAGGGAGGGAAUAAUCAACAAAGGCACAAAAGGAAGUGCAAGAAAUGUGGAGCAUGGUGGUUAUCAUUUAUUCAAUAAAUAUUCAGUGUCAGGCA